GCUGAGAUAGCUCAGUCAGUAGAGCAUGAGACUGUUAAUCUCAGGGGUUUGAGCCCCACGUUGGGCA